GCAAGCGUUGUCCGGAAUUAUUGGGCGUAAAGAGCUCGUAGGCGGUUUGUCGCGUCUGCUGUGAAAACGCGAGGCUUAACCUCGCGCCUGCAGUGGGUACGGGCAGACUAGAGUGCGGUAGGGGAGACUGGAAUUCCUGGUGUAGCGGUGGAAUGCGCAGAUAUCAGGAGGAACACCGGUGGCGAAGGCGGGUCUCUGGGCCGUUACUGACGCUGAGGAGCGAAAGCAUGGGGAGCGAACAGG
rnacentral:rRNA from 1 species